rnacentral:rRNA from 1 species
AACGAACGCUGGCGGCAUGCCUAACACAUGCAAGUCGAACGAGACCUUCGGGUCUAGUGGCGCACGGGUGCGUAACGCGUGGGAACCUGCCCUUAGGUUCGGAAUAACUCCCCGAAAGGGGUGCUAAUGCCGGAUAAUGUCUUCGGACCAAAGAUUUAUCGCCUUUGGAUGGGCCCGCGUUGGAUUAGCUAGUUGGUAGGGUAAAAGCCUACCAAGGCGACGAUCCAUAGCUGGUCUGAGAGGAUGAUCAGCCACACUGGGACUGAGACACGGCCCAGACUCCUACGGGAGGCAGCAGUGGGGAAUAUUGGACAAUGGGCGAAAGCCUGAUCCAGCAAUGCCGCGUGAGUGAUGAAGGCCUUAGGGUUGUAAAGCUCUUUUACCCGGGAUGAUAAUGACAGAACCGGGAGAAUAAGCUCCGGCUAACUCCGUG